rnacentral:tRNA from 5 species
GCCCUUGUAGUUCAAUGGAUAGAACUGCGGACUUCUAAGCCGUCAAUCGAGGUUCGAUUCCUCGCAGGGGCACCA